UUUAUAAAAUAUCUAUAAUAUGUAAUUAUAUUCAUAUUUACAAAAAAUAGUUUUACACUUAUUAUCAAUAUUAUCUUAGGGUAGACUAAAUCAAUCAAUUUUAUCAUUUAGCUUGGGUUUACUCUUAGCCGAAAGCAAUUUACUUACGACUGACUUUAAACCAUUUCACCAAUAUGCAUAACCUCCUUUUUAACAGUCGGUUAAGACUGAGACUGAAUCUAGCCAAAAACUUGUACCUAAAUAUACAGUUCUGAAAAUAUUUAUUAUAGAUGUUUUUAUCUCACGAAAGCGGGUGAGCUGUAUUAGUGUGUGUAAAUGCAUAUGCACAUUAUAUUUGUACAGUCAACUGCUGGACAGUGGUAACAGUUUUAUAGGAAAAUCGUACUUAUUACUAUUGAGUUAAGGUGCAUGACAGUUACCACUGAUGUGCAGUCUACUGUACGUAAUAGGAGUAGUUCCUUCAUUGUGCGGACGAAACCGCGGGAUAUGCCUAGUUUAGUUCUUAGUUAUUAAUGUAAAAACUAUUUUUGUGAGAGUUCAAACGAAUUUGUGAAAACAAUUUGGUAGUUGACUAGGUCAAAAAUAUAAAUUCUUUAUCAUUUUCUUUUUGGUAAAGUAUUUUAAAAUAAUUUUCAUUUACCGUUUUGAUGGGAAAUAUUGUCUAAAAUAUAAUAAAAAUGAGUAUGGGACUAGAACGUCAUAGUUCGCGUUUUCCGUUUUAACUGUUUUUGACAGAAGACUAUUGAAUUUGUCUAGUUGCCAAAUCAUUGUCUGCCUAGCCUUACCAACUAUGUUGAUGUCGGCUUCCAGUCUAACCGAAUGCAGCUGAGUACCAGCGUGUCACAAGGAGCGACUGCCUAUCUGACCUCCUGAGUCAACUACCGGAUUAAUUGUUUGUUUUUUUUUUGUAUGUAAAUAUCGUUUGAGCUCAUGAAUGUAUGUACAAUGUAAUUGUUAUUGUUAAAAUACUAAGUAAACGGUUUUCAAUUCAAUAAAUAUUAUUUUCAUUUUA